GUCGGAGAUCAUUGUUCCCGGGCACAGGUCCCAAAUUCCAGCCCACGACCGAAGGCCAAACGUGCCCGUUAAUGAUUAAACCUCUGGAGUCAGUGCUCAGGGACACAGGCAGGGAGCAGCCCGGAGAGCUGCCGGUCAAGGUGCCCGGCCGGGUGGGGGUGGGGCAGCAGCCAGGCCCCGCCCAACAGGAACCAGUUCCUGCCCAAAGCAGGAGGGGAAAGGCUUUUCCACCAAGGGAAAGCUAAAUAUUGUCUAAAUCCGGCACCCAGGACGACACACAGGCUUCCCAUUGUCUGCCACACAGCAGGUCUCGGCCACGGCCCAGGUUGCACCCGUGUGAGGUCAGGGAGGGUGGAGCAUCCCGGGGAGGGGGCCUGCCCCCACCGUCUUCCUCUGCACCGAGGCACAUUCUUGGGAAAGGUCUUAUGUUGCCAAAAGGGCUUAACCACAUGACACAAGUGAGCGUAGGUGGGCACCAGUGAGGAAAAGCCAUCCUUGGCAGCAGAAGCCGGUGCAGGGGCGACGCUUCAGACCACAGGAAGCGAGCUCUCCACGGUGGCCGAGGGCUUUUCCACUCGGCGAGCCUGGGCACCAGUCCCAGCUCUGCUACCUUUUCGCUGUCGUAGGUUAUCUCAGUUUCCUCCUCUGUAAAAUGGGAACGUGGUACCUGACCUCAAGGUCACCAAGAGGUCUACCGAGUGGCCCCUGUGAAACACGUAGUGCCGGAGCCCUGGUACCUGCAAGCUCUCAAUACCCGGCGAUCACGUUCAUUACGAUUAGGAUCACCAGAUUCUGUUCCUUUGCGAGAUCCUUUCCAACUGCACUUUCAUGUCAGUGUUCGUUUGCAGGUUGAUGUUGGACCGUAUUUACAUUCAGUGUUUGGGGCUGACCGGGAAGAAAUCUGAAAGUGGAAGAGAAGGGAAGGCACCGGUAACCUCGUCUUCCCAAGAGGAGGUCAGAGGGACUGAUCUCUGCUUACUGCAGCCUCCACCUCCCAGGCUCAAGAGACCCUCCUACCUCAGCCUCCCCAGUAUCUGGGACUACAGGCG
rnacentral:lncRNA from 1 species